AACGAACGCUGGCGGCAUGCCUAACACAUGCAAGUCGAACGAGACCUUCGGGACUAGUGGCGCACGGGUGCGUAACGCGUGGGAACCUGCCCUUAGGUUCGGAAUAACUCCCCGAAAGGGGUGCUAAUACCGGAUAAUGUCUUCGGACCAAAGAUUUAUCGCCUUUGGAUGGGCCCGCGUUGGAUUAGCUAGUGGGUAGGGUAAAAGCCUACCAAGGCGACGAUCCAUAGCUGGUCUGAGAGGAUGAUCAGCCACACUGGGACUGAGACACGGCCCAGACUCCUACGGGAGGCAGCAGUGGGGAAUAUUGGACAAUGGGCGAAAGCCUGAUCCAGCAAUGCCGCGUGAGUGAUGAAGGCCUUAGGGUUGUAAAGCUCUUUUACCCGGGAUGAUAAUGACAGUACCGGGAGAAUAAGCUCCGGCUAACUCCGUG
rnacentral:rRNA from 1 species